CACAUGCAAGUCGAACGAUGAAGCCCAGCUUGCUGGGUGGAUUAGUGGCGAACGGGUGAGUAACACGUGAGUAACCUGCCCUUGACUCUGGGAUAAGCGCUGGAAACGGCGUCUAAUACCGGAUACGACCUGCCCCGGCAUCGGGUGCGGGUGGAAAGUUUUUCGGUCAAGGAUGGACUCGCGGCCUAUCAGGUAGUUGGUGAGGUAAUGGCUCACCAAGCCGACGACGGGUAGCCGGCCUGAGAGGGUGACCGGCCACACUGGGACUGAGACACGGCCCAGACUCCUACGGGAGGCAGCAGUGGGGAAUAUUGCACAAUGGGCGAAAGCCUGAUGCAGCAACGCCGCGUGGGGGAUGACGGCCUUCGGGUUGUAAACCUCUUUUAGUAGGGAAGAAGGGCUUCGGCUUGACGGUACCUGCAGAAAAAGCACCGGCUAACUACGUGCCAGCAGCCGCGGUAAUACGUAGGGUGCAAGCGUUGUCCGGAAUUAUUGGGCGUAAAGAGCUCGUAGGCGGUUUGUCGCGUCUGCUGUGAAAACCCGAGGCUCAACCUCGGGCCUGCAGUGGGUACGGGCAGACUAGAGUGCGGUAGGGGAGAAUGGAAUUCCUGGUGUAGCGGUGGAAUGCGCAGAUAUCAGGAGGAACACCGAUGGCGAAGGCAGUUCUCUGGGCCGUUACUGACGCUGAGGAGCGAAAGCGUGGGGAGCGAACAGGAUUAGAUACCCUGGUAGUCCACGCCGUAAACGUUGGGAACUAGAUGUGGGGACCUUUCCACGGUCUCCGUGUCGCAGCUAACGCAUUAAGUUCCCCGCCUGGGGAGUACGGCCGCAAGGCUAAAACUCAAAGGAAUUGACGGGGGCCCGCACAAGCGGCGGAGCAUGCGGAUUAAUUCGAUGCAACGCGAAGAACCUUACCAAGGCUUGACAUAUACCGGAAACUUCCAGAAAUGGUUGCCCCGCAAGGUCGGUAUACAGGUGGUGCAUGGUUGUCGUCAGCUCGUGUCGUGAGAUGUUGGGUUAAGUCCCGCAACGAGCGCAACCCUCGUUCUAUGUUGCCAGCACGUCAUGGUGGGAACUCAUAGGAGACUGCCGGGGUCAACUCGGAGGAAGGUGGGGAUGACGUCAAAUCAUCAUGCCCCUUAUGUCUUGGGCUUCACGCAUGCUACAAUGGCCGGUACAAAGGGCUGCGAUACCGUAAGGUGGAGCGAAUCCCAAAAAGCCGGUCUCAGUUCGGAUUGAGGUCUGCAACUCGACCUCAUGAAGUCGGAGUCGCUAGUAAUCGCAGAUCAGCAACGCUGCGGUGAAUACGUUCCCGGGCCUUGUACACACCGCCCGUCAAGUCAUGAAAGUCGGUAACACCCGAAGCCAGUGGCCUAACCGCAAGGAGGGAGC
rnacentral:rRNA from 1 species